AAGUGGUCCACGUUAAUUUAGACCUACAUAACAAGACCAUAUCUUCUAGGUAAGACAACAACCUACAUAUCCAAUUCAACCUAACACACAACAUUAUUACACAAUCCAUAUUUCUUUUUUCUUUUUCUUUAGUAGGAGAUUUCAAAAAACAAAAAGAACCAACCAACAAGCUGUUAGUUGGUGUACAAGCUAAUUUGGUUCAUAGGUCAUAUUCCCAGGCAUGCAUUUAUAAACUAGCUGGUCAUAAAGGACAGAAUUACAACAAGAGAAAGACUAGUAAAAUGGGGUUGCAAGGGAGACCAUUUAGGUUUUUACAUGAUAACUAUUGUGUGACUCUUUAGGUUUUUUAAAUUUUAACUGUUUUCAUAUUUCAGGUAUGAUUGCGGCAUGUAUGUUAUUAAGCACAUGCAUACAAAAAUUAUCAAAUAGAAUCUAACCUUUAUGGAGAGUUGGUCAGAACGUAUUCGAUACAAGUUGGCAUCAAAUCUAGUGCUUUCAAAGGAAAAUGAACAACGUUCAAAAAUAAUAGAAAAUGCUAGAAAUACUCCACUACAAGAUAUUUUUCGGUCACUAGAAUGACAGUGAUUUGUAUAAUUUGAUAACUGAAUUUUUUGGAAAAUGCUGCAAUUUAGUGAAUUUUAUUUUUAA